GAAAGGUCUGCUGCUGGAGCUUCCUCAGCGGACGCACUAUCCAUGCUGCCCGGGGAGGGCCAGUAGUAGUGCCCGCACCUAACGGCGCCGUAGGACGGCAUAGCCAGGGGAGCAGGUCAAGAAAAGGACAAAGUUUCUCCUUUCCACUGACAACCCUGCUGCUUAAUCACCUGAGAAUUACUGGUUGAUGUGACCCAUUGUUAACCGUGAAGAGGCAGACUUGAACAGAGGGACCGUGGAAGCAGGCCGGCAGGAAAUCUGGAGUGUCAAAAUAAGGUGGAAAGAAAGCUAGUGAGACCACGCAGAUGGGCCUGUUCUUUCUUUAUCAGCCCUUCUUUGCACUAAUGCUUGCUACAUACAGAAAUGCUGAAGUGCUUUAUUUGUAGGGACAGAGACCUCCACAUUGUCUGGUCCUUACCCCCAUCGGUCCACCGUCUCCCUUCCUCCAAGACUGGCUCUUGCACACACAUUCAUGUGUGAUUAGCAACUGUUAGAGCCUGAGGCUCCCUGGCUGGCACCCGCUCUACAUCUGAAUGGCAGCCGGUGAAACCCAGUGCUGUUCGACGGGAUCUGCAAGUGCAUAUUGUCUGGGACUGACGGAAGAAAAAGAUUUACCUGCUUUUGUCUAACAAUAUUUAUGUGGCCGACUUUGCUGAGAUGGGAAAGAUAAAGAGACAAAAGGAAGAACAGAUUGGCAUCUGAAGGCUCUUUUUGAGAGAACAGAUCCAUCCAAUGAACAUCCAGAAAGUGUUGUGAACCCGAACAAAAUUAAAGCCUUCAGCUCAGAUGGGAGAAGGAUUUCCUUCCCAUCCACUGCUUGUCAUGCUCCUCUGCUGUCUUCUCUGCAUGUUGGACAAGA